rnacentral:rRNA from 1 species
UACGAAGGGUGCAAGCGUUAAUCGGAAUUACUGGGCGUAAAGGGUGCGUAGGCGGUUGUUUAAGUCUGCCGUGAAAUCCCCGGGUCAACCUGGGAAUGGCGGUGGAUACUGGAUAGCUAGAGUGUGUCAGAGGAUGGUGGAAUUCCCGGUGUAGCGGUGAAAUGCGUAGAGAUCGGGAGGAACACCAGAGGCGAAGGCGGCGACCUGGACAAGCACUGACACUCAAACUACGAAAGCGUGGGGAGCAAACAGG